ACAUGGAGCCACCAUAUGAGGUUGCCUUCUUUGCUGUCCUUGAGAGGGCAGGGGAUCCAGUGCACGGCUGGCUCACAGACAUCCUCCACUGCGGUGGACACAGGUGCAGGCAGCAGCAAGCCAAGAGCCGAGAAGCCAGAAAGCCUAGCAAGGUGCCUGAAAAGCUGUUCCAUAGUUUUGGGUACAGAAUAUUAAAAGCCACCUCAGAGCUGGAAUGAAUAAAGGCCUGGGAGCCCUGGGAGCUCAUUAGCUAAGCCCAUUAUGCAGUUACAAGCUACGUGUUUGCUUCAACAGCUGCACAGAAACCAUCACACAUGGAAAGCCCUGCUUGGACCACUCCUCACAGGGAUUCUCAACCCUGGAGUAUGAGCCCAGAUGAAACACUCAGAACCAAUCCUUUUGCCUAGGAUUCUGAACAACCUACUCAAGAGGGACAGGGUACUGUUUCCUGCAAAUCAGGGAUUUGUUAGCCUGAGGCUGAGCACCUGGUUCCUCUUCUACACUGAAAAGCAGUUGAUUCAAAAAACUAUUCUUAAGAAACAGUUCAUCUCAGUAAUAAUGUACAAGGACCUACUGCCUAGCACAGGGAACUAUAUUCAAUAUCUUGUAAUAACCUAUAAUGGAAAAGAAUCUGAAAAAGAAUAUAUGUAUAACUGAAUCACUUUGCUAUACACCUGAAACAGACACAACAUUGUAAAUCAACCAUACUUCAAUGAAAAAAUUUAAAACAAAAUUUUUAAUAAUAAUAGUGUAACAUCUCUGCAUGGUGACAUACAGUAACUAGAUUUAUCAUGGUGAUCAUAUUUAAGCAUAUAGGAAUGUCAAAUCAAUAUGUUGUGCACCAGAAACUAACACAGUGUUGUAGGUCAAUUAUACUUCAAAAACAAACAACAAAAAAACUCAGAGAAAAAGAGAUCAGAUUGGUGGUUAUCAGAAGCAGUUGGUAAGAGGAGGGGGAAUUGGAUAAACGCAGUCAAAAGAUACAAACUUGCAGUUAUAAGAUUAAUAAGUGCUAGGAAUUUAAUGUACAACAUAAUUAACAUAAUUAACACUGCUGUAUGUUAUAUAUUAAAGUUGUUAAGAGAGUAACUCCUAAGAGUUCUCAUCACAAGUGAAAAAAAUUUUUUAUUUUUCUUUUAUUUUGUAUCUACAUAAGAUGAUGGGUCUUCACUAAACUUACUGUGAUAAUCAUUUCAUGGUGUACAAACGUCAAAUCACUAUGCUGUAUAUACAUUAAACUUACACAGUGCUGUAUGUCCCUUGUAUCUCAAUAAAACUGGAAGAAUAAAAAAGAAAGAAUUCAUCUAACCAAUAAGCUACUUAUAGAAACAUGCUUGAUCACAUGUCUAUAAAGUAAGUGAUUGUGUGCGUGUGUGUGUAUGAUAGCUAAAGGAAGAUUCACCACCUUUUGGAAUAUCUUCCACAUUUGUAGAUUUCCCACCACUUAUUUUUCUAUAAAUAUCAAAAGAAUAAUAGUAUAUAUCUGUACACAAAUCUACAUAAACACAUCAAACACAUACACACACACAUAAGGCUCCCAAGCAUAAAUAUCAAUUCCUUAUUUCUCUAAGCUAAGGCUGAGCUCUCUCUCCUAACUCUCAGUCCUUUUCCUGUAACUGUUUUGUGAUGCCUUCCCAACUUCUACCUUGUGUUUCCAUUAUUUAUGUAUUUUUCAUAACUCUUCUACUAAAAUUAAGACAAGAUCUUCUCUCAUUUAUUCUUUUUCUUUGUUUGUUUGGGUGAGGGGAGGUAAUUCAGUUUAUCUAUUUAUUUAUUUUUUAACGGAGGUACUGAGGAUUGAACCCAGGACCUCGUGCACGCUAAGCAUGCACAGAACUAUACCCUCCCCACCUCCCAUUUCUUCUUUUUAUUACCUGAAUCACCGAAUACUUGUUAAAUGUAUACACAAAUGAAUAAACAAACCCACUGAAUAUGUACAAAGCUAAAUCCUUUUGUUAUCAUGAGCCAUUGUAUAAAAUUUCAUGAUUGUCUAAGAGUGAGCUUUACUUAAGCAGUGUAACUUUCUAGUGCAGGGCAACAAAGAUGCAAAAAAAAAAAGUUGGAAGAAUCAACUGUAUAACAAUAUUUACUUGACUGCGAUUAUACUAAUAAAUGAACUCCCUAUGCUAAGAAAGCACUUCAGAAAACAGAGUGAAUGUCAGUUGUCUUUCUUCCACAGUACAAUUUGUAAGCAAAGCUUUAUGGUAAUACGUCAUAAUAUUGAUUUUAAGUAUUUUUGAAAUACCGCUGGCUAUGUGAGCACUGGCAGCAGACACGUGAUGAUCAUUCUGAGUGCUGAGUAAUUUACUGCACUAACCUAUAGAGCACACAGGUACUUAAGAACACAGAUCUACCACAAAUGCCAGAGGAAGUAUGAUGAUUUCAGGACAAGACAACAGAGUGACUUACCAUAAGAGGCAAUCAAUAACUGAAAUAACCGAUGGCUGUUAUUGAGGCAAAAUUAAAUCAAAAGCAUUUUCAAGAACAAAAGCCAAAACUUGUGUCCAUUCUUAACACAACUAGAGUGAAAAUCAAAGUGAACAUCUUUAACCUCAUUCUACAGUCUCACAAGUAGCAAUGGACGAUUCAAAUUUACCACACUCCACUUGAUCUUUAGUAUUAUACUCCACAGAGCAGCUCCCAAGGGUAAAGCACAUAAACUUGGCUUUGUAAAUAUGGCCUGGAGAUGAGAUUUUGACCACUCUUUCUCAUUUAUCCACUCUAGUUGCCUUCUGAGUCAAAGGUUUUAUGAGAAUUGAGAA